rnacentral:lncRNA from 13 species
CUCGGAGGCGGGGCGAGGGGUCUGGCCUGGGGCGUCUGCAGGGGCGGGGACCGACCCCCAGGGUCGCGGACCAACCCCCAGGGUCGCAGCGCAGCCCACCUCCCCCGCCCGCGGGCGCCAGGGCCUGGCUGAACCAUCGAGCGGCUGGGCAGGGGGAGCGGCGGCCAAAGCGGCGCCAGGCAGUGGGCCCUGGAGACCGCAGCGCACGGCGUGGCGCUGGUUUUCUUCCGCCACGACUCAAAGCGAGGUGGCGUAAAGGUCGAGGAGGCGCCAGGGGCUGGGUGGUGGCGCGGCUCCGGAGCCUGACUCCGACACCCCCGCGCCCCGUGGUAGGAGCCAGGACCCAAACAAAGGAGGGCGGCGAAUAAAAGGCGGUGGAGGCGCGGAAUGUUCGGGUUGCGAGCUGGGGACCGGGAUCGGCGCGCAGCUUUUCGCGGUCUGCUUGCCCAGGAGCGGAGCGGGGAGCCCUGGCCUUCUGGGGGCUCCGAGGAGCUUCUCACUGCAACUCCCGCGAGGAGACGAGUCUGCGCAGCGGGGUGGCCGCCGACCCCGACCCUCCGCGCACACCCUCUAGCGCCGGCGGCUCAGCCCAGCCCCGUUCCGCUGGUUGAGGUUCCAUGUCCCCGUUACUCUCUCUUUGGAAAUCUCCAACGUGACCUCAGAAGCUUCUGUUCCCCUCUCCAGGAAGAUCCCCUGUGCCUUCCCCCUACCCAAGCACGUGUCUUGCCAAGGGAGCCAGGAGAGGUGUUUCCAAGGGGCUGA